AACAGGUCCUCCACACCAGGACAGUGUAUAACAGGUCCUCCACACCAGGACAGUGUAUAACAGGUCCUCCACACCAGGGCAGUGUAAACAGAAGGUCCUCCACACCAGGACAGUGUAAACAGAAGGUCCUCCACACCAGGGCAGUGUAAACAGAAGGUCCUCCACACCAGGGCAGUGUAAACAGAAGGUCCUCCACACCAGGGCAGUGUAAACAGAAGGUCCUCCACACCAGGGCAGUGUAAACAGAAGGUCCCCCACACCAGGACAGUGUAAACAGAAGGUCCUCCACACCAGGGCAGUGUAAACAGAAGGUUCUCCACACCAGGGCAGUGUAAAAAGAAGGUCCCCAACACCAGGACAGUGUAAACAGAAGGUCCUCCACACCAGGGCAGUGUAAACAGAAGGUCCUCCACACCAGGGCAGUGUAAACAGAAGGUCCUCCACACCAGGGCAGUGUUAACAGAAGGUCCUCCACACCAGGGCAGUGUAAACAGAAGGUCCUCCACACCAGGACAGUGUAAACAGAAGGUCCCCCACACCAGGACAGUGUAAACAGAAGGUCCUCCACACCAGGGCAGUGUAAACAGAAGGUUCUCCACACCAGGGCAGUGUAAAAAGAAGGCCCCCCACACCAGGACAGUGUAAACAGAAGGUCCUCCACACCAGGGCAGUGUAAACAGAAGGUCCUCCACACCAGGGCAGUGUAAACAGAAGGUCCUCCACACCAGGGCAGUGUAAACAGAAGGUCCUCCACACCAGGGCAGUGUAAACAGAAGGUCCUCCACACCAGGGCAGUGUAAACAGAAGGUCCUCCACACCAGGGCAGUGUUAAGAGAAGGUCCUCCACACCAGGGCAGUGUAAACAGAAGCUCCUCCACACCAGGUCCUCCACACCAGGACAGUGAAAAACUGGUCCUCCACACCAGGACAGUGUAAUACAGGUCCUCCACACCAGGACAGUGUAAUACAGGUCCUCCACACCAGGACAGUGUAAUACAGGUCCUCCACACCAGGACAGUGUAAUACAGGUCCUCCACACCAGGACAGUGUAUAACAGGUCCUCCACACCAGGACAGUGUAAUACAGGUCCUCCACACCAGGACAGUGUAUAACAGGUCCUCCACACCAGGACAGUGUAAUACAGGUCCUCCACACCAGGACAGUGUAUAACAGGUCCUCCACACCAGGACAGUGUAUAACAGGUCCUCCACACCAGGACAGUGUAAAACAGGUCCUCCACACCAGGACAGUGUAUAACAGGUCCUCCACACCAGGACAGUGUAAAACAGGUCCUCCACACCAGGUCAG